AUGCCUUUUAUACUUAGUGUAGACCCAAAUUUUUUUUCCCUUUUUGAGAUAAAUCCUAAAUUUUAUUUAUUAACUAUUUUUAUUAUGAUCUCUCCAUAAUACCCUUAAGUAUUUCCUUGUAUAGAUCCAAUUUUCUAUUUAACAAAACCUAUAAUUUAAUAUUAAAUUAUAAUAAUUUAAUUACAUCAACCCUAAUCUUACCAAACGAUGUUUCACGAUUCUUUUUCUUUCAACAUCAGCGCCCCCCUCUCUUCCUCAACAGUAGCAGCGAUUUCUUCUUCCAAAAAUUUUCGGUCCUCUUAGCCGACGUGAGACAUUCACUCCAAAUCUCGGCCUUCUCCAUCGAUGUAAGACAUCCACUGUUUCGACAUCAGUCGUCGCGGCUCCUUCAUCCUCUAGAUCAGAGAUCUCCAUCUUUCCAGACGGCACAGAAAGAUCUUGUGUUUUUUUUUGUGAUGGGAUCGACGAGUUGUACGGUGGGCUUGCACAAGGAGUGAUGGCAACAAGUGAGACGAGGUUGGGUGAUGCCCGGGUGAAUCUACUAUUGUAAGCGAUGACAUUGUUUAUUAAAGGGGACUUUUGUGUUGAUUUAGGCAAGUUUUUAGUGGAUUUUCUCUUUGUAAAGUAGAUCUUUUGUAAUGAAUUUCUAUAUUUUUGUAGUGUUUUUGAUGAA